CAGUCGCCGCGGGAAUACAGAGGGUGCGAGCGUUAAUCGGAUUUACUUGGCGUAAAGCGUGCGUAGGCGGCUUCUUAAGUCGGAUGUGAAAUCCCUGAGCUUAACUUAGGAAUUGCAUUCGAUACUGGGAAGCUAGAGUAUGGGAGAGGAUGGUAGAAUUCCAGGUGUAGCGGUGAAAUGCGUAGAGAUCUGGAGGAAUACCGAUGGCGAAGGCAGCCAUCUGGCCUAAUACUGACGCUGAGGUACAAAAGCAUGGGGAGCAAACAGGAUUAGAUACCCCCGUAGUCCCUGUCUCUUAUAA
rnacentral:rRNA from 1 species